GUAAGCCCUGACCGUCGGUGUUCCGGUGCCGACACGGCGCUUCCCAGUCAGUUUCGAUGCACUGGUUGGCUGUGGGAAAGUUUGGAGUGUUAACAGGGCGGGGCGGCUUAGUCGAGGUUUCGUGUUUGCCCUUAUCUCUGAGCGUAUGCAAAAGGAACACCGGAGUCCACAGUCAAGCUUUUGUUUGAACAAGACCGCACUGUUUGACCGGUGUCAGUUAUACCCAGGCCCAGUGGGACGUCUCUCCCAGGCUGGAAAACCCUUUCAUGCGCCUGGGUUUUCAUCACCGAAAUGGGAGCAGAGUAUCUUGCCCAAGGGGUCAAUUUCCACACACCGCCCCCCCACCCCAUCCCCAACCCUCCGGUGCCUGGCCUGACAUCGCUAUUGUGCUGGCCUGAACACGAACCUCAUCUUUUAUGGCAGGCAUUCUUUAUUCUGGUUUAUACCGUGUACCGUUUUUAGCUUGUCCUGCAGUAAUGCAAUGUACUGCAGCGUUUGCGUGUGAACUUUAAAAGAGAAAUCUGUGAUUGAUGUUAACAUUACAGCUCUGAAAUCACAGCAGCUAUGUUAGCAAACUCUCCUCCUUCUGGGGGAAAAAAGUACCACGCAACUGUAUUUUUAGCUUCCACUUAACCAGAGUGUCCACGAUGCAUUUCUGUUUAAAGGAGAGCACAUCCACAGACCAUAAAUCCAUAGAAAAAAGCGGACCAUUUAUCUUUCAAAAAUGACCUUAAAAACCGGGGGCAUUUUAUGCAACACCCCCGGCAUACCUCAUCAUAUUGCUCCAUCUGGGACAGGACACUUGGCAAGUGUAUGACCUUAUUAACGUUUUUGUUUCCCUUUUUACAUAUGCGUUUAACACAGAGCACUGUUAAAUGAGUGAGAAAUGACAGCUAGACUUUAAAGUCGUCCUUACUGCUAAUUUGAAUUUCAUAUUUUGUAGCAAUGGGCAUUCUUUGCUGUAAACUAGUCACUUUUACCAGUAAUAGUGGGGACAUCACCUUUGCUGUGAGUGUGUGCCUCUGACAGUUUUUACCAUCCAAAAAAAGCCGCCCAGGCACAGAAGAUCACCUCAGCGCAACUUCAGCAUCAGAAGGCGUUAAUGGCGGUAACACCACCCGAUGGGUAUCCGUGUGCGUCACAUUUCAGUGCGAGCGAAGCUGCUGAAAACUGCUACGUAAACGCUUGUGCUGCUGAGCCAUGCCAGGCCACGCGACACUGCGGGAGCCAGCUCAUCUAACAUGGCGGGCAGUUACUGGGAGGUAAAGGUGCGGCUGAGAGGUAUGGCGGUCACUUGGUGGAUCAGUGAGCAAGGUCACGCAGGCCUAAAUGUUCAGCGCUCGGACAUCAGGACACAGUAAUGCACUGGGGUGCAGUGACUUGGGCUGCCUGUCCUUUGCCCCUCCCCCACUCACCAACCAUCCCACUUCCCCCAACCACCCCCCCCAGGAGUUUUGGAGAGAUUCACACUGCUGCUGCGGCACAGACAACACCCCUAAUCCACCACCCAACCUCUCUCCCACAUCCCAGCUCUCUCACAGAAAGGAGGAGACGUGUGAGAGAGGAGAGAGGAGUAACUAUAGAGACGGAAUGGAGAGCUGGAGAAAGGGAGGCAUGGAGAGACGGUUUGGUGAUGUUUUCUAAGUGAUGACUGUCGUUCUCUCUCCCUCUCGCUCUGUAAUCAGCUGCUCUGUAGCAGCUGCCCAUUGAUCACCCCAGCACUUAAGAUCUGCAGAGUGACAUCAGCACAUGGGAGAAAUCAAUAAAUCUGUCCAACCCUGCACAUUUUACUCUUGAAGCUCACCUGAUUCUGCAGUUCCUCAUGUCAUUUCAGGUGUAAGUGGGUUUUCACAGCAGAGAAUAAUUUUUUAGCACAGUGUUGGCACUAACACUGGCAGCAAGACAGUGGGGAGUCUUGUACCGCUAUUUAUAGCUAGCUGCUAGCCGGUGUUUUACCGCGCCAAUGAGAUGUGUGCACGUUUGAACUGGCUUAUCAGAUUAUUAACCAGAAGGUGGUUCAUAAACUGAUAUGUCUGAAAGUAACAUCAGUUUGUUUUCCACAUUUUGGUCAGCCCAAUCAUGUUUGCUCAUGUAUGCAAAUUUUGGUGAUCAACACUUCUCGGCUUUGCUUGAUUAGUGGCGUAUUUCGGGACCUCCUUGCUAUGAGGCGACAGUGCUACCCACUGCACCACCAUGGCACCCACCAAGUGAAACCACAGUAUGUUUAAAAAUACCCUUAAAUAAGGUGCAAACCCAUAAUCCUCUUUGCGCCGACCAUUAUGGUGCUCACUGUAAUAAAAUCUAUUUUAUAGAA